ACCAGACUCCUACGGGAGGCAGCAGUGGGGAAUAUUGCACAAUGGGGGAAACCCUGAUGCAGCGACGCCGCGUGAGUGAAGAAGUAUCUCGGUACGUAAAGCUCUAUCAGCAGGGAAGAUAAUGACGGUACCUGACCAAGAAGCCCCGGCUAACUACGUGCCAGCAGCCGCGGUAAUACGUAGGGGGCAAGCGUUAUCCGGAUUUACUGGGUGUAAAGGGAGCGUAGACGGUUACGCAAGUCUGGAGUGAAAGGCGGGGGCCCAACCCCCGGACUGCUUUGGAAACUGUAUAACUGGAGUGCAGGAGAGGUAAGUGGAAUUCCUAGUGUAGCGGUGAAAUGCGUAGAUAUUAGGAGGAACACCAGUGGCGAAGGCGGCUUACUGGACUGUAACUGACGUUGAGGCUCGAAAGCGUGGGGAGCAAACAGGAUUAGAUACCCGCGUAAU
rnacentral:rRNA from 1 species